UACGUAGGGUGCAAGCGUUGUCCGGAAUUAUUGGGCGUAAAGAGCUCGUAGGCGGUUUGUCGCGUCUGCUGUGAAAACUCGGGGCUUAACCCCGGGCCUGCAGUGGGUACGGGGCAGACUAGAGUGCGGUAGGGGAGACUGGAAUUCCUGGUGUAGCGGUGAAAUGCGCAGAUAUCAGGAGGAACACCGGUGGCGAAGGCGGGUCUCUGGGCCGUAACUGACGCUGAGGAGCGAAAGCGUGGGGAGCGAACAGG
rnacentral:rRNA from 1 species